GACGAACGCUGGCGGCGUGCCUAAUACAUGCCAGUAGAACGCUGAAGAGAGGAGCUUGCUCUUCUUGGAUGAGUUGCGAACGGGUGAGUAACGCGUAGGUAACCUGCCUUGUAGCGGGGGAUAACUAUUGGAAACGAUAGCUAAUACCGCAUAACAAUGGAUGACACAUGUCAUUUAUUUGAAAGGGGCAAUUGCUCCACUACAAGAUGGACCUGCGUUGUAUUAGCUAGUAGGUGAGGUAAUGGCUCACCUAGGCGACGAUACAUAGCCGACCUGAGAGGGUGAUCGGCCACACUGGGACUGAGACACGGCCCAGACUCCUACGGGAGGCAGCAGUAGGGAAUCUUCGGCAAUGGGGGCAACCCUGACCGAGCAACGCCGCGUGAGUGAAGAAGGUCUUCGGAUCGUAAAGCUCUGUUGUAAGUCAAGAACGGGUGUGAGAGUGGAAAGUUCACACUGUGACGGUAGCUUACCAGAAAGGGACGGCUAACUACGUG
rnacentral:rRNA from 1 species